rnacentral:tRNA from 1 species
UCCUCCGUGGCGCAAUUGGCUAGCGCGUCUGACUGUUAAGCUUCGGCAAGGCGAUCAGGAGGUUCGUGGUUCGAGCCCACGCGGGGGAG